UAGCGUAGGGGGGCGAGCGUUGUCCGAAGUUACUGGGCGUAAAGCGCGCGUAGGGCGGGUUGGCAAGUCUGCUGUGAAAGCCCGGAGCUUAACUCCGGAGGGUUCGGUGGAUACUGCCAGUCUUGAAGGUGCUAGGGAGAGAUGGGAAUUACAGGUGUAGCGGUGAAAUGCGUAGAUAUCUGUAGGAACACCAGUGGCGAAGGCGGUCUCUUGGGGCAUUCUUGACGCUGAGGCGCGAAAGCUGGGGGAGCGAACGGG
rnacentral:rRNA from 1 species